CAUCUUACCUAACAGCAUUAGAUUUGUAUUUGCAAUUUCUAAUACUGUCAGGUAAAGAUGUC
rnacentral:pre_miRNA from 1 species